rnacentral:misc_RNA from 1 species
GGGAGUCAAGACCGAUCGGACAAACACUCCGAGAGUAGCAGCAAGAUUUCCGGUGUUCCAGGAAACAGAUUUGCAAGGAUCCGGACAAAGUUAAGGUUACACACCCUACUUGGAGGUGCUUUAUCCAAAAGGUCGGGUUCGGAAAAAGGAGGACCUACGCGUGUGUUGGAAAAUACAUACAAAUUAGGCCCUGAAGAUGGGACGAAAUUCAACCAGCAGAAAGCAGAACAGAUAAUUCAUAACGUCUUAAAUAUGUACUUGAAAGACAGAGUUUACGACGAGAAAAAGUUUCCGCAGUUGUGUAAAACCUUGUCGGACUUAAUCAAGGAACGUGUCAAAUUGUCCGGACUCCGGCGUUACAAGGUGGUAGCCUAUGUGAUGGUGUUCGAGAACAAGACCCAGGGAGUGCAUUACACCAGUCGGAGUCUGUGGGAGACCAACCUGGACAACUUCGCUACCGUCACGUACAAUGGAAGCGACUUCAUUGCUAUAGGAACAAUUUUUGCUACUUACUAUGAAUGAAACUUCAAAGUGAUUCGUUAAUGUGACGACUCUUCGAUCGAAUGAAUAUUGUUAUUGAGGAAAGCGCUUUUCUUCAAUGGAUUGGAAUAUUUUUUAUGUGCUGCCUCCAUUGCAAAGGUUAAAAGGAUCGGUCCGUGUUGGGAUUACACGUAUCUAUUUCAUGUUUAUUGAUGUUUUUAGAGAGGUAUAAACAACAUUGUGCACUCUUAUUCCACCCUAAAACCAAGCCCUUUGAAAGUGACAUGUAUAUUAUGUUCUCCGUCCCGAAUGUAAUUGCUGUUGAGAUAAUUUAAACCCUUGUCUGAGUUCGUUCCGACGGAAAAUUGCACAUAAAUCAUGGCGACAAGUUAUCGAGUUUAAUUUUUCUUGUGUAUAGGAGUGAUUGUAAAAUCCUAAUUUGUUUAAAAACGACUUAGCUUUGAAUUUUUACUGCCUUGUCUGGAUUGAUCCCUUUAAACGUAUAUCUCUAUAUUGUUUAUAAGUCUCCUUAGCAACGGCCCUUGGGAGAAAAGUAAUGCGCCUUGCUCAUCAAAUUGUUUACUUAGAGCUAAAAUGUAUACCUUUGUCCCUUUAAAAUUCCUCAUUGCCGAGCACACGUCCAGUUUGUUGAUGUUUCAAAUCAUAGGUCGUUUUAUUUUUUAUUUCAAAAAUAUUUUUGUUAUUUGCAAAUCAAUAUUUGUACAUGUUUUUGUUAAUGUGUCCUUUCAGUGGUUGUUUUAUAAAUCUGAACAUGGCAUUUAAAGCCUUUCUUCUGGGCUGAAGGACCGAUGUCGAUCAAAAUGGCCUAAUAAUUAAAUAAGUGCUAUUCUUACAACUGUGAUAUCAAUUCUCAUAUAUUUGUUUUUAUUUCUGAUGAAUUUUUAGAAGUUGUUAAUGUAUGUUUACCAAUUUUUCAUGUCCGUUUCGAAGUAAAAUUUGUAAUUAAGUGGUCUUCUGAAUUAUUUUGAAUUCACUGUACUAGAAAUGAUAUUCUCAUAUAUUUAUUUUUAUUUCUGAUGAAUUUUUAGAAGUUGUUAAUGUAUGUUUACCAAUUUUUCAUGUCCGUUUCGAAGUAAAAUUUGUAAUUAAGCGGUC